CCCUUAGAUGUCCUGGGCCGCACGCGCGCUACACUGACGGAGCCAGCGAGCUUACCCCUUUGCCGAAAGGCAUGGGAAAUCUUUUGAAUCUCCGUCGUGCUGGGGAUAGAUCAUUGCAAUUAUUAAUCUUGAACGAGGAAUUCCUAGUAAACGCAGAUCAUCAAUCUGCAUUGAUUACGUCCCUGCCCUUUGUACACACCGCCCGUCGCACCUACCGAUUGGAUGGUCCGGUGAAGCCUCGGGAUUGUGGUUCUUGCCGCUUUAUUGUGGCGUGACCGCGAGAACUUGUCUAAACCUUAUCAUCUAGAGGAAGGUGAAGUCGUAACA
rnacentral:rRNA from 1 species